UACGGAGGGUGCGAACGUUAAUCGGAAUCACUGGGCGUAAAGGGCGCGUAGGCGGCUUGGCAAGUGGAUGGUGAAAUCCCUCGGCUUAACCGAGGAACGGCCGUCCAAACUGCUUCGCUUGAGACCGGGAGAGGUGAGUGGAAUUCCCAGUGUAGCGGUGAAAUGCGUAGAUAUUGGGAGGAACACCAGUGGCGAAGGCGGCUCACUGGACCGGUACUGACGCUGAAGCGCGAAAGCGUGGGGAGCGAACAGG
rnacentral:rRNA from 1 species